UACGUAGGGGGCAAGCGUUGUCCGGAUUCAUUGGGCGUAAAGAGCGUGUAGGCGGUUCGGUAGGUCCGUUGUGAAAACUCGAGGCUCAACCUCGAGACGCCGAUGGAAACCAUCGAACUAGAGUCCGGAAGAGGAGAGUGGAAUUCCUGGUGUAGCGGUGAAAUGCGCAGAUAUCAGGAAGAACACCCGUGGCUAAGGCGGCUCUCUAGUACGGUACUGACGCUGAGACGCGAAAGCGUGGGGGAGCGAACAGG
rnacentral:rRNA from 1 species